UCCACCCUCAAGCCCCUACGGGCUUGGUGUUGGGGCUUCUACGGCGGGGCUCGCCCCCCGUAGGCCCUUAAAGUCAGUGGCGGGCUCGCUAGCACUCCGGGCGUAGUAGCUUUUUACACGUCGCCUAGGGGGUCUGGCGGGCGACCGGCCGUAAAACAGCGACUGCUGUCGCACAUUUUUGCAA
rnacentral:misc_RNA from 1 species